CAACAGAACGGGAAAUUCAACCCAACAGUUGUUAAGCUCAGUAUUUGAGGCACUGAACUUGGAUAAGUAUAAUAUUAACAGCAACACAAGAAUUAACAGAAUUAGUAUGCUAAACUUGUCUCAAAUCUUAUAAUCUAUCACAUAAAGCCAUGGGAGCGGAAGCGUAAUAUAUAUUAAACGAAAUAGAAUGAAGAUAAGGCUCAGUAGGAGGUCUUUCAUCAAUUCAAAGCUGGAAAUGCAAUUAGAAAAACACAACAGCGCAAAACCCAAAAUAAUCAAACUAAGGCAAAGACCAUAGUCAACAAGCUAUCCAAACGUUGAAUCAUACUUAAAAAAUCAAAGUUCCAGGAACGCAAGAGAGAGCGACCUGUAGAGAGAGUAUGCGGCCGAAAAACACGUAGAGGCUCUCCGGGAAAAUGUGCGAAGAUUUUUCGGGAAAAAAACCGAUGGAGCCGCUGGAUCGAAAAGACCCAAAAUAAAA
rnacentral:misc_RNA from 1 species